rnacentral:rRNA from 1 species
UACAGGAUUCCCUCAGUAACGGCGCAGCGAAGUGGGAAGAGCUCGAGCCUGAAAUCCCUGGCAGAUACUGUCAGGGAGUUGUGGCCGGGAGAGGCAACUAGGCCCUGGUCGGUGCUGUCAAAGUUGACCUGGAAAGGCGCGUCACAGAGGGUGAGAGCCCCGUACGUGGCACCGNCGGCNNGGGCCUUUAUUGCCUUCGGAGAGUCGGGUUGUUUGGGAAUGCAGCCCAAAGUGGGUGGUAAACUCCAUCUAAAGCUAAAUACUGGCACGAGACCGAUAGCAAACAAGUACCGUGAGGGAAAGGUGAAAAGUACUUUGAAAAGAGAGUCAAAAAGACCGCGAAACCGUUAGGAGGGAAACGAAUGCAGCUGAAUGGGCUUUGCUCGAGCUCAGGAGCGAUGUCGGUGGGCGAUGCCGGUCUGCGAGAGCCGCAAGGCUUUGCUCUCCGGAUAGCUGCCGACUCCUCUGCACUCUCGAGCUUCGCCUGCCAACGACGGUUGUCGGUGGUUGAGAAGGGCGCUUGGGUAGGUUCUCACCCCUCGGGGUGAUGCUUAUAGCCAUCCGUCUGGAAGUCCGCCGGCGACCGAGGAUAACUUGCAGNGCAGGCCUUCGGGCUUGGGCCGUUUCUGGCCGUUUGGGCGCCGCGGAUCGGACUGCAUGCAGUGCGCGCCGACGGACGUCUGCUCGGGNGGGAGACCGGUCACAUCUGCGCUGUGGUUGUUGGUUAUCAAAUGGCUGCAUCCGACCCGUCUUGAAACACGGACCAAGGAGUGCAACAUGCACGCGAGUCUUUGGGUGGCAAACCCAAUGGCGCAAUGAAAGUGAAGGCAGGCUCGGUCUGCUUAGGCGAGAGUCCUCUCCGGGGGACGCAUCGUCGACCGAUCCCAGGUCACGCUGUGGCGGGAUUUGAGUGAGAGCGUACCUGUUGCCACCCGAAAAAUGGUGAACUAUGCCUGAAUAAGGUGAAGCCAAAGAAACUCUGGUGGAACUCGUAACGAUUCUGACUGCAAUCGAUCGUCAAUUUGGGUAUAGGGCCAAAAAUAUCCACCCUCUA